rnacentral:rRNA from 1 species
CGUAGGAGACGAGCGUUGUCCGGAAUUACUGGGCGUAGAGCGCGUGUAGGCGGAUGAGCAAGUCUGCUGUGAAAGCUCCUGGCUUAACCGGGAGUGGUCGGUGGAAACUGCUCGUCUGGAGGACGGUAGAGGUAGGUAGAAUUCCCGGUGUAGUGGUGAAAUGCGUAGAGAUCGGGAGGAAUACCUGUGGCGAAGGCGGCCUACUGGGCCGGACCUGACGCUGAGACGCGAAGGCGUGGGGAGCGAACGGGAUUAGAUACCCCGGUAGUCCACGCAGUAAACGAUGUGUACUAGGUGUGGCGGGUAUCAAGCCCCGCCGUGCCGGAGCCAACGCUGUAAGUACACCGCCUGGGGAGUACGGCCGCAAGGUUA